rnacentral:rRNA from 1 species
AUUGAACGCUGGCGGCAUGCCUUACACAUGCAAGUCGAACGGUAACGCGGGGCAACCUGGCGACGAGUGGCGAACGGGUGAGUAAUGCAUCGGAACGUGCCCAGUAGUGGGGGAGUAGCCCGGCGAAAGCCGGAUUAAUACCGCAUACGACCUACGGGUGAAAGCGGGGGACGUCGCAAGAGCCUCGCGCUAUUGGAGCGGCCGAUGUCAGAUUAGGUAGUUGGUGGGGUAAAAGACCUACCAAGCCGACGAUCUGUAGCUGGUCUGAGAGGACGACCAGCCACACUGGGACUGAGACACGGCCCAGACUCCUACGGGAGGCAGCAGUGGGGGAAUUUUGGACAAUGGGCGCAAGCCUGAUCCAGCCAUGCCGCGUGCGGGAAGAAGGCCUUCGGGUU